rfam:Triticum aestivum genome assembly, contig: Triticum_aestivum_CS42_TGACv1_scaffold_147339_2BS
CCGCAUGAGUUGCGUCCUGCUGUAAAUAUGGACAAAUAAUAAGGUUGAUGGAAUUUAGGUGAGCAUCAUGUGAGUCGUAGAUGCUCAUAAAGGACCAUCGCAUAUAC